GUAGGUCCAGAGUCCAACUCAAGUAGGGAUCGAAACACAGAGCAACAUAGGCAUCACAUGUUCUUACCCUGGACAAGAGGAGAUACAUCUCAAGUUCUGCCACUCGUCGACCCAGACACGCCCGGACCCCAAAACCGAACGGCACCGACCCAAAAGGGUGAUGCUUGACCUUCUCCACCUCUCCGCGGAGCCAUCGCUGUGGUCUGAAGGUGUGAGGGUCGGAAAAGACGCUCUCGUCAUAGGACACAGCGUAGUGGCACAGCCUCUUGCAGACUGGACUCGUCCCUUCCACAGAGUGAACCCACUGGGUCAACUCACCGUGUCGACUCCUGCCAGCAGGAUCUCAGUCAUGCUUGCCAGAAUCUCAGUGAUCGUCAUCUUGUCGCUGAACAGCAGGUGUGUGAGGUACGCUCCCUCCAGCUGCUGGUCCAGCUUCACCUUCUCCUGGAUCUCCUCCAUUUUCUUCUGCACCAACUCCCCAGCUACAGGACACAAAGAGAAAUUUUGUCUUUUUUCAUUUCUUAGGGGAGAAUUAGAAGUAAAAAAAAGCUUUACAAAGAAAUACAAAAAUAAAAAAACAAUGACAGAAAUUAAUAGAAGAAAUGUUGCUAUGGAUCAUUAAACUAGUGGUCUGAAUCAAAACAGUUUUUAAGAGUAAGAGGAGAUGGGCUCAACACUUUUGGCCAUAGGAUGGCGAAAGACUGUGAC